rnacentral:lncRNA from 1 species
GUUGUGACAUGUUUUUCUAUUGCAUCCAUGCAUUGCUUCCUAACCUGUUUGUUGAGUUUUUGUGAGGGCUCACCUGACUCUUGCAGAGAUGGCUUGGUAUUCCACUUUAUUUGUGGGAUACCACCUGGAGGUUUAUUCCGAUUACCUGUACUGAUUCACUUUCUUUGAUGGUGCUAGCUUGGGAGAUCUCUGGGUUUCUGAUUUCUUUAGUUGCUGUUGCUUCGGAUCUUUAUCCGUGUGGUACUUUUACCCCUUUCC